rnacentral:sRNA from 1 species
AUAUUCUUGUAUUGUGCUUUUUCUAUUCAUUUUAAGCAGGAAUAAUUACAAGUAUUGCAACGCUAAUUAAAUCGAAAUAACAGCUGAAAAUUAAUAUGUCGAAGGGAAAGGUUUUGCUGGUUCUUUACGAAGGUGGUAAGCAUGCUGAAGAGCAGGAAAAGUUAUUGGGGUGUAUUGAAAAUGAACUUGGUAUCAGAAAUUUCAUUGAAGAACAGGGAUACGAGUUGGUUACUACCAUUGACAAGGACCCUGAGCCAACCUCAACGGUAGACAGGGAGUUGAAAGACGCUGAAAUUGUCAUUACUACGCCCUUUUUCCCCGCCUACAUCUCGAGAAACAGGAUUGCAGAAGCUCCUAACCUGAAGCUCUGUGUAACCGCUGGCGUCGGUUCAGACCAUGUCGAUUUAGAAGCUGCAAAUGAACGGAAAAUCACGGUCACCGAAGUUACUGGUUCUAACGUCGUUUCUGUCGCAGAGCACGUUAUGGCCACAAUUUUGGUUUUGAUAAGAAACUAUAAUGGUGGUCACCAACAAGCAAUUAAUGGUGAGUGGGAUAUUGCCGGCGUGGCUAAAAAUGAGUAUGAUCUGGAAGACAAAAUAAUUUCAACGGUAGGUGCCGGUAGAAUUGGAUAUAGGGUUCUGGAAAGAUUGGUCGCAUUUAAUCCGAAGAAGUUACUGUACUACGACUACCAGGAACUACCUGCGGAAGCAAUCAAUAGAUUGAACGAGGCCAGCAAGCUUUUCAAUGGCAGAGGUGAUAUUGUUCAGAGAGUAGAAAAAUUGGAGGAUAUGGUUGCUCAGUCAGAUGUUGUUACCAUCAACUGUCCAUUGCACAAGGACUCAAGGGGGUUAUUCAAUAAAAAGCUUAUUUCCCACAUGAAAGAUGGUGCAUACUUGGUGAAUACCGCUAGAGGUGCUAUUUGUGUCGCAGAAGAUGUUGCCGAGGCAGUCAAGUCUGGUAAAUUGGCUGGCUAUGGUGGUGAUGUCUGGGAUAAGCAACCAGCACCAAAAGACCAUCCCUGGAGGACUAUGGACAAUAAGGACCACGUGGGAAACGCAAUGACUGUUCAUAUCAGUGGCACAUCUCUGGAUGCUCAAAAGAGGUACGCUCAGGGAGUAAAGAACAUCCUAAAUAGUUACUUUUCCAAAAAGUUUGAUUACCGUCCACAGGAUAUUAUUGUGCAGAAUGGUUCUUAUGCCACCAGAGCUUAUGGACAGAAGAAAUAAGAGUGAUUAUGAGUAUUUGUGAGCAAAAGUUUUCCGGUCUCCUUUUGUUCUUGUUUUGGCGUAUUCUCCACUAUUCGUCCAUAGCACAUUUAUACCUUAGCUAAAUAUUUUGUAAAGCAAAAUUUUCGUUAUCUCUUA